rnacentral:rRNA from 1 species
GAUGAACGCUGGCGGCGUGCCUAAUACAUGCAAGUCGAGCGAACAGACAAGGAGCUUGCUCCUCUGACGUUAGCGGCGGACGGGUGAGUAACACGUGGAUAACCUACCUAUAAGACUGGGAUAACUUCGGGAAACCGGAGCUAAUACCGGAUAAUAUAUUGAACCGCAUGGUUCAAUAGUGAAAGACGGUUUUGCUGUCACUUAUAGAUGGAUCCGCGCCGCAUUAGCUAGUUGGUAAGGUAACGGCUUACCAAGGCAACGAUGCGUAGCCGACCUGAGAGGGUGAUCGGCCACACUGGAACUGAGACACGGUCCAGACUCCUACGGGAGGCAGCAGUAGGGAAUCUUCCGCAAUGGGCGAAAGCCUGACGGAGCAACGCCGCGUGAGUGAUGAAGGUCUUCGGAUCGUAAAACUCUGUUAUUAGGGAAAAACAAAUGUGUAAGUAACUAUGCACGUCUUGACGGUACCUAAUCAGAAAGCCACGGCUAACUACGUG